CUUUCCUUCGCUUCUCUUCGACCUGAACGUUCGCUUCUCUCUCUCUCUCUCUCUCUCUCGCUCUCGCCUUCGCUUCUCUUCGACGUUCGUUUCUCUCUCUCUCUUUCUCGCUCUCUCUUCCUCCAUCUUCGGAGCUAUGCUCUCGCGCAUCAAUGGCGGUGCCGCAUGGUCGGAGGACGCCGGAGGAGCAGGAGACCAAGACGAAGAGGCGGCGACGUGGACGAGAACCAUCAAUCCCGAAGCAAAGGACGGCAUGGCGCAGCUGGCGAGCUUCAAGUCUAUGCUUGACGAUGACUGGUACCCUCAGAGCUUUGAAGCUCUGCAAACCCACUCGGAAAUCAAGCAGAUGAGCUUCCCCACUGACCCGGCUUCCACUGAUGCUAUGCUCUUCAACCCCGCUAUGGAUUCCUCCUCCUCUUGCUCGCCUUCUUCUCUUUUCAACCUCGAUUCGUCUCACCCGUUCUUCUCCUCGAAAACCAUGAUUUCUUCCUUCCUUGGAGCUGCGUCUUCGAUGCCUUUUGAUACUGGGGCUGAUCUCGGGUGUGAUGCUUCGGGGUUCCUUGCGGAGCCCCAGGUGUCGAAUUCACCAGUGUUGAUGAGUAGAGAGGGAGGCGGUGGUGGGGUUCUUGGGUUCUCUGGGUUGGGGGCUAAUGUGCAGAUGAAUUGCUCAACUGUUGGCUCGGGUAUUCAGUUUCAUAGCAACAGCUUGAUGCUAGGGCAGAAGAGUUGUUCUGGCUCGGGCUCUGGCUCUGGUGCUGGUUUUGAGCCUAUGGGCUUUGAGAGCUUUGAGAAUUCUCCGUUCCUUAACAGGACUAAGGUUUUGAGGCCUCUGGAGAUUUUCCCGCCGGUGGGCGCUCAGCCGACGCUUUUCCAGAAGCGAGCGGCGACCAUUCGGCAAAACUCUGGCUUGGGGGGAGAGAAAGGUGGGAGUUUUGGGGGAAUUAUUGGUUUAGAGGGAGGGAAGCAGGGGAGUAAUGAGGAGAGUGAGAAGAGGAAGAGGAGGUGGAGUGAAGAGGAUGAUUUUGAGGAAGGGAGCUUUGAUGGCUCUGGUUUGAAUUAUGAUUCAGAGGAGAAUGGGAAGGGGGAGGAGAGUGGGAAGAAUGGUGCUGGUGGUGGAGGGAAUGCUUCUAAUGCCAAUAGCACAGUGACAGGUGGCGGGACUGAUCCCAAAGGGAAGAAGAAGGGCUUGCCUGCAAAGAAUCUGAUGGCCGAGAGGAGGAGAAGGAAGAAGCUCAAUGACCGGCUUUACAUGCUUAGAUCUGUGGUUCCCAAGAUCAGCAAGAUGGAUCGAGCGUCUAUACUUGGUGAUGCAAUUGAAUACCUAAAGGAGCUUUUACAAAGAAUCAAUGACCUUCACAAUGAACUUGAGUCAACACCUUCGAGUUCCUCAAUGGCUGCCACCACUCCUACCAGUUUUCACCCUUUGACUCCUACGCCAUCCACUCUACCAUGUCGAGUGAAGGAAGAGCUCUGUCCAAGUUCAUUGCCAAGCCCAAGUAACCAACCAGCCAGGGUGGAAGUAAGGGUACGAGAAGGCCGAGCAGUCAACAUACAUAUGUUCUGUGCUCGUCGACCUGGCCUUCUUCUCUCAACAAUGAGGGCACUCGAUGGACUUGGUCUGGACAUCCAACAGGCGGUCAUCAGCUGCUUCAAUGGCUUUGCCCUAGAUGUUUUCAGAGCUGAGCAAUGCAAAGAUGGGCCUGGCGUUCUUCCAGAGGAAAUAAAGGCUGUGCUUUUGCACUCUGCUGGUUUUCAAAGUACUAUGUGAUCUACACAUCAGAGGACAAUUCAGAAAUGGCACUAACUGUAGUUCUACUCGCCAGUGGAUUACUAAAGGACAGUUCUAAGUUCUAAACAGUGGUAAGUAUAUAAAUAGGGAUUCUACCUCUUUCGCUUGCCUUGUUGUGCUUGGAGGUGCUCUCAACAGGACUAUACCAUUGCAUAAAGAAAUGGACACUUCUUCCCAAAUGACUGGUGCAUUAUAUAUAUAAUAUAAUAUAUAUAUUUAUAGAGAUGUAUAUGCUUUUGAUGGGUGCUAGGAUCUGAUGCGGAGAUAGUUAUAUAUCAAAUAAAGACAGGCUUGCUGAUCAUUGCGCAUAGUGACUGAAAAGGCACACAAUUGGAUCACAAGGGGGCAUAGUCCUAGUCCUAGUCAUAGUCCUAGUCCUACUCAUACUCCUAGUCCUGGGCCCCCAAAGCACUAGUGUCUUGUUUACAUCAAAUCAGUGGUCAUUCUGACAGAUUCUUUCAGGUGACACCUUUAGGAGGGUUAUUAAUCUUCUUUGUUUAAGGAAUUUCUGCUACACUUUUGUCUUUCUGGACAGCUUUCAUGAGGGCACUCAUUCAUUUGCAUGUCCAAUCAAUCAGUCAGU